AUUAUAUUAUAGAUAAAUGGCAAGACAAUGAUUGGAAACUAUACUGCUAUUCAAAAGAGUGGAGGAACUGUGAAACAUAAUGGUCCAAAAAUAUCGAUCGACCUGGUCAAUCCAGCUGUUCUGUGAACUGGGACAGACAUUCGCACGCUAUAGCGAUUGGGUUUGAAGACAGUGAAAUGAUUGGAAAGGUGUGUGGACUGCUUGGAAAUGCUGAUGGAAAUCCUCAUAAUGAUUUCGUCAUGUCAGAUGGCAAACGAACAUCGGAUUCCACUGACUUUGGAAACAGUUGGUUGAUUCCUGGAAGUUGUCCAACGUUAUAACUGAAGUGUCCAGAAUUUGACAAGUUGCAUGUAAAAAUAUGGUAUUGGUAUUGGUGACUGGCCGGUACACAGUUCAAAUAAAAUUCGUCUAAUGAAA